rnacentral:tRNA from 1 species
GAGGGUAUAGCUCAGUGGUAGAGCAUGUGCUUAGCAUGCACAAGGUCCUAGGUUCAAUCCCUAGUACCUCCA